rnacentral:rRNA from 1 species
GACAGGUGCUGCAUGGUUGUCGUCAGCUCGUGCCGUGAGGUGUCGGGUUAAGUCCCAUAACGAGCGCAACCCCUAUCAUUAGUUGCCAUCAGGUCAAGCUGGGGACUCUAAUGAAACUGCCUACGCAAGUAGUGAGGAAGUGGGGAUGACGUCAAAUCAGCACGGCCCUUACGUCCAGGGCUACACACGUGCUACAAUGGCCGAUACAGAGGGCAGCUACCUGGUGACAGGAUGCAAAUCUCCAAAGUCGGUCUCAGUUCGGAUCGGAGUCUGCAACCCGACUCCGUGAAGUUGGAUUCGCUAGUAAUCGCGCAUCAGCCAUGGCGCGGUGAAUACGUUCCCGGGCCUU